UACACACGCCCAUUACACCAUGGGAGUGGGUUGCACCAGAAGUAGCUAGUCUAACCGCAAGGGGGACGGUUACCACGGUGUGAUUCAUGACUGGGGUGAAGUCGUAACGAAGGUACC
rnacentral:rRNA from 1 species